rnacentral:rRNA from 1 species
CCCCUAGAUGUUCUGGGCCGCACGCGCGCUACACUGAACAGUUCAACAAGUCUUAACCUUGGCCGAUAAGUCUGGGUAAUCUUUGAACGCUGUUCGUGAUUGGGAUAGACCUUUGCAAUUAUGGGUCUUCAACGAGGAAUUCCUAGUAAACGCAAGUCAUCAGCUUGCAUUGAUUACGUCCCUGCCCUUUGUACACACCGCCCGUCGCACCUACCGAUUGAAUGGUCCGGUGAAAUCUCGGGACGGCGGCUUGGUCGCUUGCGUCCGACUGCUGAAACUUGAUUAAACCAUAUCAUUUAGAGGAAGGUGAAGUCGUAACA